rfam:Chloroflexi bacterium RBG_16_47_49 RBG_16_scaffold_453, whole genome shotgun sequence.
CAGUGAUGCCAAGGUGAUUGAUGCCCAGGCUGGUUUGGAAAGUGGCAUCAGUGCCAUCCUGGGUGCUCUGGCAGGUGUCAAUAUGAUCUCUGGAGCUG